rnacentral:rRNA from 1 species
UGGCCGGGCGACGGUUGUCCCGGUUUAAGCGUGUAGGUGUGUGUUCCAGGUAAAUCCGGUUCACUUUAACACUGAGGCGUGAUGACGAGGCACUACGGUGCUGAAGCAACAAAUGCCCUGCUUCCAGGAAAAGCCUCUAAGCAUCAGGUAACAUCAAAUCGUACCCCAAACCGACACAGGUGGUCAGGUAGAGAAUACCAAGGCGCUUGAGAGAACUCGGGUGAAGGAACUAGGCAAAAUGGUGCCGUAACUUCGGGAGAAGGCACGCUGACAC